AUUGAACGCUGGCGGCAGGCUUAACACAUGCAAGUCGAGCGGGGUGAUGGUGCUUGCACUAUCACUUAGCGGCGGACGGGUGAGUAAUGCUUAGGAAUCUGCCUAUUAGUGGGGGACAACAUCUCGAAAGGGAUGCUAAUACCGCAUACGUCCUACGGGAGAAAGCAGGGGAUCACUUGUGACCUUGCGCUAAUAGAUGAGCCUAAGUCGGAUUAGCUAGUUGGUGGGGUAAAGGCCUACCAAGGCGACGAUCUGUAGCGGGUCUGAGAGGAUGAUCCGCCACACGGGGACUGAGACACGGCCCAGACUGCUACGGGAGGCAGCAGUGGGGAAUAUUGGACAAUGGGGGGAACCCUGAUCCAGCCAUGCCGCGUGUGUGGAGAAGGCCUUAUGGUUGUAAAGCACUUUAAGCGAGGAGGAGGCUCUUUUGGUUAAUACCCAAGAUGAGUGGACGUUACUCGCAGAAUAAGCACCGGCUAACUCUGUGCCAGCCGCCGCAGUAA
rnacentral:rRNA from 1 species